AAUCAACGCUGGCGGCGUGCCUCAGACAUGCAAGUCGAACGAUUAAAGCUCUCUUCGGAGAGUGCAUAGAGUGGCGCACGGGUGAGUAACACGUAAGUAAUCUACCUUCGAGUGGGAAUAACGUCCGGAAACGGACGCUAAUACCGCAUAAUGCAGCGGCAUCGUAAGAUGACAGUUGUUAAAGAUUUAUCGCUUGAAGAGGAGCUUGCGGCAGAUUAGCUAGUUGGUAAGGUAAUGGGCUUACCAAGGCUACGAUCUGUAACCGGUCUUAGAGGACGGUCGGUCACACUGACACUGAAUAACGGGUCAGACUCCUACGGA
rnacentral:rRNA from 1 species